GUUUGGACUAUCUAUGACUGAAUGUUAUGGAGUUAUGGGGUAAAAGGUGCAACAAUGGUGACAAAGGCCAGUUUCAGUUUGUACAGGGGUCAAAGUUAAAGUUGCUCCAAUUUUUUAAACAGUGAUGCACAUUACUGGUCGAGUUAAUCAGGUUUUAAAAAGUAACGGUUUGCAUCAUGUGUCAUGCUUAGUUCAUGUUACAGGGUAACAUAUAGAUGGUGGUUGACCA